rnacentral:piRNA from 1 species
UGCCAGGGAGUUAACGACACCUUUAGGAGC